ACAAUGGGCUACCAGAAAAGAAUAUAAAGAUGAUACAUAUGAAGGAAAGCCUGAAAGUGAACUACCAAGAAGUAUUUGAGCACUGGCGACAUGAUUGGAAUAAAACUACAGCAUCUUGAGAUGACUGCUCUGAAGAAACCGGCACUCUUUGGGAAUGGGAGAAAUCCAAGAAUUUUAAAACACAUGAUAAAAUGAAGAAAUAAGACAAUGAAAAAAGACAUCA
rnacentral:lncRNA from 10 species